rnacentral:rRNA from 1 species
GACGAACGCUGGCGGCGUGCCUAAUACAUGCAAGUAGAACGCUGAAGAGAGGAGCUUGCUCUUCUUGGAUGAGUUGCGAACGGGUGAGUAACGCGUAGGUAACCUGCCUUGUAGCGGGGGAUAACUAUUGGAAACGAUAGCUAAUACCGCAUAACAAUGGAUGACACAUGUCAUUUAUUUGAAAGGGGCAAUUGCUCCACUACAAGAUGGACCUGCGUUGUAUUAGCUAGUAGGUGAGGUAAUGGCUCACCUAGGCGACGAUACAUAGCCGACCUGAGAGGGUGAUCGGCCACACUGGGACGGAGACACGGCCCAGACUCCUACGGGAGGCAGCAGUAGGGAAUCUUCGGCAAUGGGGGCAAACCUGACCGAGCAACGCCGCGUGAGUGAAGAAGGGUUUCGGAUCGUAAAGCUCGGUUGUAAGUCAAGAACGGGUGUGAGAGUGGAAAGUUCACACUGUGACGGUAGCUUACCAGAAAGGGACGGCUAACUACGUG